UGAGACAGUAAAAUUUGGUCAUGAGUCCCAAUGGACUCGGACCCGAGAAUAUAGGAUACUCAUUUGGUAGACUAAAAACAUACUAGUAGUUCACGAAAUGUAAUAAACUGAAAAUGCAUAAAUACUCUCUAAAAAGAUUCAUAGGCAUGUAUAUAAAACUACAAAACAAUUCCAGUGAAUAUUUCGCAUAUGGACGUCGACCAAUUAAUGGCGUAACCUGGAUUUCUUUGUCCAAAAGAUUACAGCGCCAUCAGGUACGCAGUACCAUAUUCUCGCAUUGCAUCGACAGUCGUGCACCAAACAGCAUAACAGCCUCAUCAAUGACAACUUAGCAGAUCAUAAUAACAAAACAAUUGUUUGUCUUCAGUCGCCAUAUUUCGCACAACAUGUUUCGGCCUAAAGGACUUUCAUCAGUUGUGUUUAAAGAAGCACCGGCUGUGAAGACGUACAAGAAGAGGAUAUAUAUCCCCACGUAUUCUUAGCCUCGGAACUAGAUGGAAGUGAAUGGUCAACUUCGUGCCCCGGAAGUUUUACCUCCGGCAGAGGUGUCCCUGGUAGCCUCUGGGUAGGAGGCUGAAUCAGCCCAGGGCCGGUUCAGCCGCUGUGGUAAGGUACUAUGGCGUAUUUGUUCCAUGCAAGAACUGCUGAGCCAUAGAAAUAGUCGUUGCUAAGUAAUACACGCACGCAACAAUAAAACAACGGGGUUAUACAACCAGUUUCUAGGCAACGGCUUGGUAAACACGCUUCCGCAUAGGCAGUGACGUCACACAAUACAACAACAGUGUUUUCUUGGUGUCCAUGCAUCUUGUGCCUGCUCGAUGACACAGCAAUAGAUGAUCUGUGUUUUCUGUGUGGUCCGUGUGAAGCCUAUAUAACGAAGACCUGUUGUAGCUUAGAUUAGUUCAAUCAAGAGAACGGGAAUAAAACGGCACGCAGCAGUUCAGUUGUAGUUAAAGAGGAAUUAGAAGCCGGCCUGUGAAGACUUAGUGUGUGAUCAGAAGAUUUAGUCACAGUGAGACUGUUUUACUUCCGUUACCGGGAAACGACUAGUGAAGACUGAGAAUAUAUCCUAUAACCAUUACGACUUCCUAUUAUGGUCAGUGGUUAUGAACCGGCCGUCGAAAUAAAACUGUCCCGGGAUACAACCCCUUCCACUUCAUCUAUCCACCGACACCUUUAAUCCUGUAGAUACUAUUAGUUAUUUGUGAAACGUGACAGCAGGACAAAAGAGUUAUAUCUUUGUUCCUCCCUUUUUUACUUUUUGUAUUUGAACCAUUUUAAUUUCGUGAUUUUAUAGGAUUGUAGUUCUGGGAUGGCCUAAGAGUGAGUUCACUUUUGCUCUUAGUCAUUACUGUUUAUAUAACCGGGUACGAUUAUUAUUGUUAUAACAGAAAUGAAAGUUUUACAUUAUUAACAACAGUAUGCGGAGUAUAGUGAAUACGAGUAUACCAAAUGCCAGAUGAAAAGAGGCCACUGGGAAGGCCAAGACGUA